rnacentral:ncRNA from 1 species
UAGGUGGGCGUCGGAGACCCCAUCGGGGCCGAAGCAACACACGCCGUCUGCGCUGGUAUGGGCGGUGUACGUACUGCCGGAGAUCUGGUAUUGCGUAUG